rnacentral:rRNA from 1 species
AUUGAACGCUGGCGGCAGGCUUAACACAUGCAAGUCGAGCGGAGAGAGGUAGCUUGCUACUGAUCUUAGCGGCGGACGGGUGAGUAAUGCUUAGGAAUCUGCCUAUUAGUGGGGGACAACAUUUCGAAAGGAAUGCUAAUACCGCAUACGUCCUACGGGAGAAAGCAGGGGAUCUUCGGACCUUGCGCUAAUAGAUGAGCCUAAGUCGGAUUAGCUAGUUGGUGGGGUAAAGGCCUACCAAGGCGACGAUCUGUAGCGGGUCUGAGAGGAUGAUCAGCCACACUGGGACUGAGACACGGCCCAGACUCCUACGGGAGGCAGCAGUGGGGAAUAUUGGACAAUGGGCGGAAGCCUGAUCCAGCCAUGCCGCGUGUGUGAAGAAGGACUUAUGGUUGUAAAGCACUUUAAGCGAGGAGGAGGCUACUUUAGUUAAUACCUAGAGAUAGUGGACGUUACUCGCAGAAUAAGCACCGGCUAACUCUGUGCCAGCCGCCGCGGUAAAAC